UGUUUUAAUAAAAAUUUUUAUAUACAGUUUGAAAAAUUAGACAACAGGUAAAUAAUUAAUGAAGUAGAUAUAGGAACAUAUGAUAAGACAGGAAGGCUACUUAAUUUGGAGACCCAUGACGUCAUAAUAUACAAAAAUAAACACAAUACUGCGUAUGCACGUGAUCCGAGAGUGGAUGUCAAAUAUAUACUAAAAAUUCACAAAUCUAUUAAUCACAAAUCAACACUAAGAGAUUAAUAAUAAACGAUAGAUCGGAGCAAUUAGCUUCGGCAAUAUUAUCAUAUUUAAUAUCGAGACGUAAUGAUAAAUGCAGGGAAGUGAUUUUCAUCAGAUAGAUAAAGACAGGGGUGGAGUGGCCCACCGGGCAACCGGGUCAUUUCCCGGUGGCCUGGAUUGCCUGUACAAAAUGUGGCCCACCGGACAUCGUUCUAUAUAUUAUUUCUAUUAUUCGAUCAUUUUGUGGUGCGUUUAAUUUUUGGUUAGCACAUCGAUCCAAUAGAACUCUACGAUAUGCAAUGGGUCUAUGUGUUGAUCAGGUCGACAAUAAAACGAAAUGAUGUCUAUGUUGGAUUAAUCAAUCAAAUUAAAACUGAUUGGGAAUAGUGCGAACAAACAAAUUUUUGACAUAUUAACGAUGCAGCGGUUUCCGUGAUGUUUCGAACAAUAGUAAGGGAUUGACCGUUGACCAAAUAGACGUAUUGAUCGAUUAAGGUCGUUGUCAAUGUGUAUAAUAUACUUCGAAUAAUUAGUAGUCAUUCCAUCGGGAACGAAUCUUAGUUAAAGUUAAUUGAUCUAUGAAAUAUUGGGAACAUAAAUAUCGUGCGAUAUUUCGAAAACAGUGCAUCAUGACUUAACAGCACGAUAAAAAUGUGAUGUAUUCAGAAAUAGACAUGGACGAGAUUAACAAUGCACCAAAAAGUAUUCAUGACCUACUCUAUGUCCAAGGUGGUAAACGGACGUUUCGUCGGCGACAAUUAUUUAGAUGGGACGCUUCGUUCGAUCUGCAAUCCAAAUUCUAAUUGCA